UACGUAGGGUGCGAGCGUUAAUCGGAAUUACUGGGCGUAAAGUGUGCGCAGGCGGCCGCGCAAGUCGAGUGUGAAAGCCCCGGGCUUAACUUGGGAAUUGCGCUCGAAACUACGUGGCUGGAGUGUGGCAGAGGAAGGUGGAAUUCCACGUGUAGCGGUGAAAUGCGUAGAGAUGUGGGGGAACACCAAUGGCGAAGGCAGCCUUCUGGGCCAACACUGACGCUCAUGCACGAAAGCGUGGGGAGCAAACAGG
rnacentral:rRNA from 1 species